AGAGAAAAGUUGUUAAGGAACUCGGCAAAUUAACCCCGUAUCUUCGGAAGAAGGGGUCCUCAAACAGGCUAGUAAUUUACUUGCGAUGUUUGUUUGAGGCGCAGUGAAGAGGCGAAGGCGACUGUUUAUCAAAAACAUAGCACUAUGCGAACUCGCAAGAGGAAGUAUAUGGUGUGACACGUGACCAAUGCCAAAAGGUUAAGGCAAGGGGUUAGGACUUGUUCCGAAGCUCUAAACCGAAGCCCUGGUGAAUGUCGGCCGUAACUAUAACGGUCCUAAGGUAGCGAAAUUCCUUGUCGGGUAAGUUCCGACCUGCACGAAUCGUGUAACGAUCUUCGCACUGUCUCAACAACAAUCUCGGUGAAGUUGUAGUUCCGGUGAAAAUGCCGGAUACCCGCGGCAGGACGGAAAGACCCCGUGAACCUUUACUGUGACCUGACAUUGGAAUUUGAUAUGUCGUAUGUAGGAUAGCUGGGAGGCUUUGAAGCAUCUUCGUCAGGAGGUGUGGAGCCAUUGGUGAAAUACCAGUUUCGGUUUAUUGAAUUUCUAACUACGAUCCCCUGAAUCGGGGCGUGGAACAGUGUCUGGGAGUCAGUUUGACUGGGGCGGUUUCCUCCCAAAGAGUAACGGAGGAGCACAAAGGUACCCUCAGCAUGGUCAGCAAUCAUGCGAAGAGCGUAUAGGUAUAAGGGUGCUUGACUGCGAGACCUACAAGUCGAGCAGGUGCGAAAGCAGGUCUAAGUGAUCCGGCGGUAGCUAGUGGUAGCGCCGUCGCUUAACGGAUAAAAGGUACUCCGGGGAUAACAGGCUGAUGAUUGCCAAGAGUCCACAUCGACGCAAUCGUUUGGCACCUCGAUGUCGGCUCAUCGCAUCCUGGGGCUGGAGAAGGUCCCAAGGGUUUGGCUGUUCGCCAAUUAAAGCGGUACGCGAGCUGGGUUCAGAACGUCGUGAGACAGUUUGGUCCUUAUCCGCCGUGGGCGCAGGAAGUUUGAAGAGAUUACUCCUUAGUACGAGAGGACCAGGAUUAACAUGCCUCUGGUGUUCCAGUUGUCGUGCCAACGGCAUCGCUGGGUAGCUACGCAUGGAAAGGAUAAGCGCUGAAGGCAUCUAAGUGCCAAGCCCCCUCUAAGAUAAGACUUCCCUUGCUCUUCGGAGCACUCAAGGCUCGUUCAAGACUAGGACGUUGAUAGGCUGGGCGUGAAAGUGCAGUGAUGCAUUGAGCUAACCAGUACUAAUUAGCCGUGAGGCUUGAUCUUA
rnacentral:rRNA from 1 species